UAAGCGACUAAGCGUACACGGUGGAUGCCCUGGCAGUCAGAGGCGAUGAAGGACGUGCUAAUCUGCGAUAAGCGUCGGUAAGGUGAUAUGAACCGUUAUAACCGGCGAUUUCCGAAUGGGGAAACCCAGUGUGUUUCGACACACUAUCAUUAACUGAAUCCAUAGGUUAAUGAGGCGAACCGGGGGAACUGAAACAUCUAAGUACCCCGAGGAAAAGAAAUCAACCGAGAUUCCCCAGUAGCGGCGAGCGAACGGGGAGCAGCCCAGAGCCUGAAUCAGUAUGUGUGUUAGUGGAAGCGUCUGGAAAGGCGCGCGAUACAGGGUGACAGCCCCGUACACAAAAAUGCACAUAUUGUGAGCUCGAUGAGUAGGGCGGGACACGUGGUAUCCUGUCUGAAUAUGGGGGGACCAUCCUCCAAGGCUAAAUACUCCUGACUGACCGAUAGUGAACCAGUACCGUGAGGGAAAGGCGAAAAGAACCCCGGCGAGGGGAGUGAAAAAGAACCUGAAACCGUGUACGUACAAGCAGUGGGAGCACGCUUAGGCGUGUGACUGCGUACCUUUUGUAUAAUGGGUCAGCGACUUAUAUUCUGUAGCAAGGUUAACCGAAUAGGGGAGCCGAAGGGAAACCGAGUCUUAACUGGGCGUUAAGUUGCAGGGUAUAGACCCGAAACCCGGUGAUCUAGCCAUGGGCAGGUUGAAGGUUGGGUAACACUAACUGGAGGACCGAACCGACUAAUGUUGAAAAAUUAGCGGAUGACUUGUGGCUGGGGGUGAAAGGCCAAUCAAACCGGGAGAUAGCUGGUUCUCCCCGAAAGCUAUUUAGGUAGCGCCUCGUGAAUUCAUCUCCGGGGUAGAGCACUGUUUCGGCAAGGGGGUCAUCCCGACUUACCAACCCGAUGCAAACUGCGAAUACCGGAGAAUGUUAUCACGGGAGACACACGGCGGGUGCUAACGUCCGUCGUGAAGAGGGAAACAACCCAGACCGCCAGCUAAGGUCCCAAAGUCAUGGUUAAGUGGGAAACGAUGUGGGAAGGCCCAGACAGCCAGGAUGUUGGCUUAGAAGCAGCCAUCAUUUAAAGAAAGCGUAAUAGCUCACUGGUCGAGUCGGCCUGCGCGGAAGAUGUAACGGGGCUAAACCAUGCACCGAAGCUGCGGCAGCGACGCUUAUGCGUUGUUGGGUAGGGGAGCGUUCUGUAAGCCUGUGAAGGUGUGCUGUGAGGCAUGCUGGAGGUAUCAGAAGUGCGAAUGCUGACAUAAGUAACGAUAAAGCGGGUGAAAAGCCCGCUCGCCGGAAGACCAAGGGUUCCUGUCCAACGUUAAUCGGGGCAGGGUGAGUCGACCCCUAAGGCGAGGCCGAAAGGCGUAGUCGAUGGGAAACAGGUUAAUAUUCCUGUACUUGGUGUUACUGCGAAGGGGGACGGAGAAGGCUAUGUUGGCCGGGCGACGGUUGUCCCGGUUUAAGCGUGUAGGCUGGUUUUCCAGGCAAAUCCGGAAAAUCAAGGCUGAGGCGUGAUGACGAGGCACUACGGUGCUGAAGCAACAAAUGCCCUGCUUCCAGGAAAAGCCUCUAAGCAUCAGGUAACAUCAAAUCGUACCCCAAACCGACACAGGUGGUCAGGUAGAGAAUACCAAGGCGCUUGAGAGAACUCGGGUGAAGGAACUAGGCAAAAUGGUGCCGUAACUUCGGGAGAAGGCACGCUGAUAUGUAGGUGAAGUCCCUCGCGGAUGGAGCUGAAAUCAGUCGAAGAUACCAGCUGGCUGCAACUGUUUAUUAAAAACACAGCACUGUGCAAACACGAAAGUGGACGUAUACGGUGUGACGCCUGCCCGGUGCCGGAAGGUUAAUUGAUGGGGUUAGCCGCAAGGCGAAGCUCUUGAUCGAAGCCCCGGUAAACGGCGGCCGUAACUAUAACGGUCCUAAGGUAGCGAAAUUCCUUGUCGGGUAAGUUCCGACCUGCACGAAUGGCGUAAUGAUGGCCAGGCUGUCUCCACCCGAGACUCAGUGAAAUUGAACUCGCUGUGAAGAUGCAGUGUACCCGCGGCAAGACGGAAAGACCCCGUGAACCUUUACUAUAGCUUGACACUGAACAUUGAGCCUUGAUGUGUAGGAUAGGUGGGAGGCUUAGAAGUGUGGACGCCAGUCUGCAUGGAGCCGACCUUGAAAUACCACCCUUUAAUGUUUGAUGUUCUAACGUUGACCCGUAAUCCGGGUUGCGGACAGUGUCUGGUGGGUAGUUUGACUGGGGCGGUCUCCUCCUAAAGAGUAACGGAGGAGCACGAAGGUUGGCUAAUCCUGGUCGGACAUCAGGAGGUUAGUGCAAUGGCAUAAGCCAGCUUGACUGCGAGCGUGACGGCGCGAGCAGGUGCGAAAGCAGGUCAUAGUGAUCCGGUGGUUCUGAAUGGAAGGGCCAUCGCUCAACGGAUAAAAGGUACUCCGGGGAUAACAGGCUGAUACCGCCCAAGAGUUCAUAUCGACGGCGGUGUUUGGCACCUCGAUGUCGGCUCAUCACAUCCUGGGGCUGAAGUAGGUCCCAAGGGUAUGGCUGUUCGCCAUUUAAAGUGGUACGCGAGCUGGGUUUAGAACGUCGUGAGACAGUUCGGUCCCUAUCUGCCGUGGGCGCUGGAGAACUGAGGGGGGCUGCUCCUAGUACGAGAGGACCGGAGUGGACGCAUCACUGGUGUUCGGGUUGUCAUGCCAAUGGCACUGCCCGGUAGCUAAAUGCGGAAGAGAUAAGUGCUGAAAGCAUCUAAGCACGAAACUUGCCCCGAGAUGAGUUCUCCCUGACUCCUUGAGAGUCCUGAAGGAACGUUGAAGACGACGACGUUGAUAGGCCGGGUGUGUAAGCGCAGCGAUGCGUUGAGCUAACCGGUACUAAUGAACCGUGAGGCUUAACCU
rnacentral:rRNA from 1 species